GAAAGGUGAAAAGCACCCCGACGAGGGGAGUGAAACAGUACCUGAAACCGAACGCCUACAAUCAGUCGGAGCUUCCUUCGGGGAGUGACGGCGUACCUUUUGUAUAAUGGGUCAUCGACUUGGUCUAUCCAGCAAGCUUAAGCCGUUAGGUGUAGGCGCAGCGAAAGCGAGUCUUAAUAGGGCGUCGAGUUGGAUGGAUCAGACCCGAAACCGAGUGAUCUAGGCAUGACCAGGAUGAAGGUACGGUAACACGUACUGGAGGUCCGAACCCACACCUGUUGAAAAAGGUCGGGAUGAGUUGUGCCUAGGGGUGAAAGGCCAAUCAAACUCGGAGAUAGCUGGUUCUCUGCGAAAUCUAUUUAGGUAGAGCGUCAUCCGAAUACCCUCGGGGGUAGAGCACUGGAUGGGUAAUGGGGCCCCAC
rnacentral:rRNA from 1 species